rnacentral:lncRNA from 1 species
CUCUUGACACAAUCGGUGGCUCCUGUCUCCUGCUCCUGUAAGUUUUAGUUUCAGUUUCCAUUAACUUUAGACAUCAUUUUCUGCCCCUUCUAUUAACAAUUUCUAUUACCAAUUUUCUGUGUGGUCUGGACGUAUAUUUUUUGUACUGAAUUCCUUCAACCCAAUCAACGGGAUAUUUAAUUAUAACUUUUCUCAACGAACAAAAAAAAUUAAAUGAAUUCUGGUAAUGAAAAUUCGCUCACUUUAAUCGACUCUGGCAGCGGCGUGACGAUGAUCGAUUUUCUCUGAAAGCCCCAGAGACACAGCAAGAGACAGAGACGGCUGGCUGGAUGGCUGGAUGGCUGGAUGCCCGAGCUGAUGAGCGUAGCAGCAGGAGAGGAGACCCCAUCAAGGCACACCUGUUUGGCCCUGGCACACUCGUGCUCCGCUCCACAAAAGACCUAAAAGACCUAAAAGACCUAAGAGCUGGUCUGCUGCUGGUGCUGCUGCUCGGCAGAGCUUGUUCCAAUGGAUUAUUAAUGAUUGGCGAUCGAUCGUUCGCCGAUCGGCGGUCUACAAGCUCCUACAGAAAUAGCCACUAAAAUUAGCUGGUAGCUGGUGGUGGUGCAGCAACUCCUCCCAAUCCCAAUCCCAGUCCCAAUCCGAGUCCCCAUCCUCCCUUUGCAGCAGGCGUUAGCGUUUAGCGUUAACGUUAACUCAAUCGACCUGUCAUUUGGGCCUCAGUUGGCUCCUCGCAUAAUUGCCACCGUCACUUGAAGCCGUUCUUCGGCACAUCAUUUAUCACGUGUGGAUCUAUUUUUAGCGGAGAGCAACACAUCCGAAACUACACAAAGAGAAAAGUCUAAGAGUCCCCGAGUCUGUGUUUUAUUCGAGUCUAAAUUUGCAUUACUGCGUGAAUCAUUUAUCAGAAUUUGUUGGAACAAUUAAUUUACAAUCGUUUUGGGGCUGUGUCUCUUUAAUUCGAUUUGUGUGCGGUGCGAUAUCCGCUGGGUGUGAAAUUCACCUUUGGGCUUCAUCAAUCAUCAAAGUCUCUUCGCCCUGCCCAUUCGAAUCGAUCUAGCAAGAGGCCACGUCGACAUCAAGUCUACUAAAAUGCUGUCAAAGGAUACACAAAGUCUCCAACAAGGCAGACUAUGUGGUUCCAGCUUCGAUUUUGGGGGGAAUGGGGAAAUGCCUCCCAAUCAUCACACUUACUCAAUUGUUUAUGCAUUUUGGUUGCUUUGUUUUCAUUAUUUCCAUGUUUGUGUGUUUGUGUGUUUGGGUUUGAAUUUCGGGGCAUGCGUUUCAACAAAAGUUCAUUAAUUUCCGCCUCGAGCAGCAGCAGCAGGAUCCUUGGACUUGGGCUGGACGUGCGUUUAGCACAUCUUUGGCGGGGGCACCUCUCUCUCUCUCCUUCUCGUGAGUAUUCAUUAAUCCCAAAACGAUUCCCAGUCUCUCCUUUGGCUCGUCGUUGUAUUUUGUUAUUAAUGAUGUUCAACAAAACGGCGGCUCUUUUUCAGUUCUGGUUAUGGUUUUGGUUCUGUUUUCGGUUUGGACAGUUUUCUGUUUGUCGCCUCUUGCCGUUGAUUUGCGGGUGGUUCCUGUUUACUCUCGAGUCCUCCUCUUCCCUUUGAGCUGCUGAUCAUUGUUUCAGUCCUUCGUCAUAUUCCACAGUCCGGCGUUCGAAGUGGUCAGGGAAACACGCAGGUUUCUGGUCUUAUCAUUACUUAAUGUUGAAUGAUGUCGAGUGUUUGUUUUGACAUGGAGCCCGUCUGCGGAAUUAAACAUUUAGCAUUGAGUGAUUAAUGAUUACUCAAUCCCGCUCCAAGAGGUGAUGUGUAAUAUAGAUUUCGGGUUGGAUAAACGCUGGAGGAGGGAUCAGUCGCAUGAGUUCAUGGGUUGAUGGGUCAAUGUGAAGGAGUAUUUUUCCUGCAAUAGUAAGUGACUCUCCCAUCUAUCAAAAUACAAGCUAAUAACACUCCCUGGAACCCCCAGACUUUCCCCAAAUCAUAGCAGUGCUGAGACCCCGACAGGAAUGCAAAUAUUUGUGAAUCGAAAACACUUAGUGCAAACACAUUUACUGAUUCCUGCCACACAGAUUCCUGGCAAACACCAACCCAACACGCUGCAGAGGGGGGAAGUUAGCUGCCACCCCGAAAAGCUAUGCUCCUGAGGGGAGAAAGCCAAUUCUAAUUCCCAGCAAAUGCUUUUCAUAAAAAAAUGAGGGAAACAAGGAAAAUAUUUGACAUCAGAUUCGUCAAACUCAUGCGUCCUCGAAGGGGAGGCGUGGGAGUGGGCCCUGUUCUGAGUUUAGCAAGUGGCAAGGCUGACUUUAAGGCUGGCCCAGGGACCCUGUGCUCCUGUGUGCCAUGCCCUGUGCUGUAGUCCUGCCAUCCUGCUUCCUGUGUGUGUGUGCUCCUGCCUGUCUGCCAUUAGAGGCUCAAAUGGAAAACGAAAAUGUCUGACAUUGACAAAUGUCAUCCGUCAUUGCGAACACAAGAUUGAUAUAGAUUGGAAUGUGACACAAAAAUACGCACAACUUCCACCACCACCACCACCACCACCACCAUGGCAGCCCUCGGAGCAACAACCACUCAGGCACCACACCACCACUGCCACUGCCACUGCCACAGUGCCACAGAAAGAAAGAAUGGCGGCCAGGGGAAAAGGCAGCCAUACGCACAAUUGUGCGUGGCGUGGCGUGGCAAGGCAUGGCUCAGAGUCGAAGUCAAAGUCGAAGUCCCAGUCCCGGUCCCGGUCCCGGUCCCGGUCUGACGAUGACACAAGAUGACGAGCGCUGAUGAAAAACGUCGACGUCUGUCCAUCAUGUCACCCUUGUUUCUCCGCAGCCAAAAAGAAGCAAGAACACAGAAGAACUAUGGUUGCCCGAAAAGAAUUUCCCUGGCGGGGAUGAAAAGCUGAAUUUUUCACGCUUUGUCCUGGCCCCUGGGUGGUACAAAGAGUUGUGAGAAUUCUGCAUAAUGCAAAAUUGUGGUGAUCUGCACACAAAGUUAGGAAUUAUAAGUGGUUCAUAUGGUUGAGUUGAAGCCAGUAUUCGAAAAGGAAAAGCUCUUAUUGAAAGGGGAGUCUGGGAGGCAUCUGUUCGUAUAUAAAUGGGAGUAUAAUGGAAGAAAGAUUAAGGGUUUCAGUUACGAAAUCGAUUCUGAAGGACUGUAAAAGUAUCCACAACUAUUUUACUCUACUCUGCUUCUCUUCCAUUGUCACCUCUCUUCCAGAACUUUUCAAACCCCCCAUCGAAGUCGACCGCUUUCCUUUCCUUUAUUUCCAUUUGUGUGUGUGCGUGGCACAUAAUAAUGGUGGAUUUUCUUUUGUUUGACGUUAAUUUUUUAUUCUUGUUGCUUUGUCUUUUGUCUUGGCUUCCACUUCCCUUUGUCGUUGGGGCAUGCAACUUGCACUUAAGUUUAUUAGAAAGAACAAAGGCGCUACAGCAGGGAGCGGCAAGGGGAAGCGCCAUUAAGAGUGUUGAAAUUUGAUAAAUUGAGAUUUGCAUUCCAUUCCAUUCCAUUCCAUUCCACUGCAACAAUUUUGCAUCUUCCAUCGCUGCACAAUCCCCACUUGCUGCUGACAGCGACAAAAGUCUAAAUCGGUUUUUAGAUUGCAACGAAAUUGUUUUUUUUUAUUUUUGGCGAAAGUUUCGGCUGGGGCGGGGAGGUAAUUAAAUCGAUGUCACCCAUGUUGACACUUAAGCAAAGUUGUACAAAACUUUGGACACAGAGACAGACAGAGAGCGUGGAGAGAGCUCCCCGAAUAAUAAUCAAGUGUUAAUUAUUUUAUGGUUUUCAAAAAGUUUCAACUGAAAGUUUCGUCGGUUGCGUCGGGCUCCGCUCCUCGCACGCCGCAAAUCAUCCUUCAAGAUACGCAUCGAUUUCAGCGCCUCCAACGUGGACACGGGACGGGGGCUGUUCCGGGCAGGCAUUCGUUUCAUUUCCUUCCAGGACAAACUGUAAUGAAACUUCCGCUAGCGAAGCCCAGCCCCAACCCCAACCCCAAUCUCCCGUGGCCCGUGGCAAACUAAUGCGCUGCCAUCAGUUGACGAUGGCAUUCAGAUUAAGCGCUGCCGGCAAUGAAUGAACUCGAUGCGGUGAUAAAAACAUUUAUCAAACAAAAAAGACGAAUAAUCGCCAGGACCAGGACCCCAGUCAGCCGUCCCCCAGGAAGUGGGAAUCUCAGGCGGAGUCUCGAGUCUUAGGCCCAGGGCUUUUUUCAGAGCUACAGCGAAACGUGAUUAAGUAAUUUGUGCGGUACUUAAAAAACAAUUAUAUUGUACUCAAAGGAUUGCAUUACACAACAGGCAGAAAUCCCUUGUCAGGGAAAUAUUCGUUUGAUUAAUUCGCAGCUACUAAAAAUAGUUGAAAAAUAUUGAAAUUUUUAACACAAAUCUCUCUCAUUUAUUUUCAGGAAUAUGCUCAGGAAACAAUCGAAACUGAAACCGAAACCUCUCAAAGAACAAGACAAAAUACACAAUUCAGAAUAAGAUCUUCGCCCAAAGAGAGAGUAAAGGGGAGUUGGAGAUCGGAGAUCGGAGAUCGGAGAACACGAACAUAUACUUUGGGAAUGCUCGUGAGGGGGCUGUGAGACAAUGGAUAUUAAUCAAUUGCCGAUAAUGCUGUCCGUCCGUCGAGCGGCAGACAAGAGUUUUGAAUAAAAACUCAAAGAUGCAGACGAAGAGGUGUGUGUGGCACUGUGUGCCGUGCCCCGAGGAUGUGUCACAGUCACACUUUUGUUGUUAAUUGAACGUGGCAUGCAUGCCCCUGCCCACAGCUCAAGUGGCAUCCACACUAAUGCCGGAUUCAUGCUAAGUGGUAUGGCAAACGAUCUGGUUGGUAAGUGUAAGUGUAAGUGUAAGUGUAAGUGUAAGUAUGUGAAGAGUUCUUCUUUUCUAUUCAUAGAAACGCUGUCAUUGGACCUUGCCGUGAGUUGCCAUCUCUUCCGGCAAUUGAUUAAUCAUUGAGUCUGCAGCACGACACGUCGAUGCGAUGCACUUUGACGCCCCUGAAUCUGAGCCGAUAGCAAAAGUAUCCAGACAGUGUUUCCUCUCCGAUAUCCCCACUUCUUCAGCACAGAUGGCUUUAAGUAAUCCCGCAAUAUUGGCUUACUCUUCAUUUAUUUUUUGUGGUGGUUGCUGAUAAAAUUUCACAGCAAAACUCCAGAAGCUGCAAC